rnacentral:rRNA from 1 species
UACAGGGGGGGCAAGCGUUGUUCGGAAUUACUGGGCGUAAAGCGUGCGCAGGCGGUUUUGUAAGCCAGAUGUGAAAGCCCCGGGCUUAACCUGGGAAUGGCAUUUGGGACUGCAAGGCUUGAGUGCGGCAGAGGAGACUGGAAUUCCUGGUGUAGCAGUGAAAUGCGUAGAUAUCAGGAGGAAUACCGAUGGCGAAGGCAGGUCUCUGGGCUGACACUGACGCUCAUGCACGAAAGCGUGGGGAGCAAACAGG